rnacentral:rRNA from 1 species
CCUACGGGAGGCAGCAGUGGGGAAUUUUGGACAAUGGGCGCAAGCCUGAUCCAGCAAUGCCGCGUGCAGGAUGAAGGCCUUCGGGUUGUAAACUGCUUUUGUACAGAACGAAAAGUCUUGGGUUAAUACCCUGGGACCAUGACGGUA